rnacentral:rRNA from 1 species
GACGAACGCUGGCGGCGUGCUUAACACAUGCAAGUCGAACGGAAAGGCCCUGCUUUUGUGGGGUGCUCGAGUGGCGAACGGGUGAGUAACACGUGAGUAACCUGCCCUUGACUUUGGGAUAACUUCAGGAAACUGGGGCUAAUACCGGAUAGGAGCUCCUGCUGCAUGGUGGGGGUUGGAAAGUUUCGGCGGUUGGGGAUGGACUCGCGGCUUAUCAGCUUGUUGGUGGGGUAGUGGCUUACCAAGGCUUUGACGGGUAGCCGGCCUGAGAGGGUGACCGGCCACAUUGGGACUGAGAGACGGCGCAGACUCCUACGGGAGGCAGCAGUGGAGAAUAUUGCACAAUGGGCGGAAGCCAGAUGCAGCAACGUCGCGUGCGGGAUGACGGCCUUCGGGUUGUAAACCGCUUUCGCCUGUGACGAAGCGUGAGUGACGGUAAUGGGUAAAGAAGCACCGGCUAACUACGUG